rnacentral:lncRNA from 1 species
GAUUAAUCUACCACCGUUUGGAGGACGGGAAAGCCACUUCCGACUCUGUCCAGCGGUUACUGGAUCAGGUUUCUAACCUAAGCGAGACCACUAAAGCCAAGAUAAUCGAACACUCUGGAGAUCUCUCAGAGGGAGUGUAUAAGAUUUACAUGGGUGUGGAAAAGAUUAUCAAACAGGACAUCCUUGGCCUCGAGAACACAGACGUGGAGGUGAAGGAUGGGGGCAGUGAGGAUUCCAGUCCAGAAGAAGAUGAUUUUGGGGAUGUUCUGUGGGACGUACACGACGAGCAAGAACAGAUAGAAGCCUUUCAGCGGGCUUCUAGCUCCGCCCACGAACUGGGAUUUGAGAAGUAUUACCAGCGCCUGGAUGAUCUGGUGGUGGCGCCAGCCCCGAUCCCACCACUCCUGGUUUCUGGAGGACCAGGUUCUGGAAAGUCCCUUCUUUUAUC